ACACACACACACACACACACACACACACACACACACACACACACACACACACACACACACACACACACACACACACACACACACACACACCUUCUACAAACACACACACACACGUACACACACGCCCAACAGGAUGAAAGACUCCACGUAUCUAGAGACUCUGUCUGUGCUGCCUUUGGUGACCUAUUCAAAUCAGCUUGAUUGAUUUUUUUUUUCACGUGUCCAGUAAUAAUACCCCCUCUGUUUGCCCGACCACCUAUCAAUCUGAGUUCAGUUCAGGUUAGAGAUAUCUAAAGAGUAUUAACCAAAGCCUUGAGAGAACAAAUAUCAAAUCAAAUCAGGACACGUGUUAAAGUGAAUACUGUAAUGUAACAAAAGUGAGUAGUUUUGUAUGUUCUGUUAGACUCUCCCCACCCUGGUUUUUGAAUCACAAUAGAUGUUAUUUUUUACAGCUUUCCUGUCUCUCUUGGGGUGACACUCUAUGUGGAACAAGUACUUGGUGAAAAAAAAUGUAUUGGCGUCCAAUGGUAUUGCUUUGUCAUGAUUAAAUGUAUGCAGGGAGGCUUUUUUACCAAUAGGUGGCGCUAUUGCUUAAGCUACUGUAGUUAUGAAAUGGCUCUUUACUGGCAACAAGGCUGUCCCAUCUGUAGGUUCUUAGUAGUGCACGUCAGUCGGCUACAGCACUGUAAACCUUCUUCUCUAACAAAUGAUCAAUCACCAACAGUAUUUUAACUGUCAGUUUGGGUUUGAAUUAAAAAUCCACACUGUUACUGUUGUUUCUGUUCAUAAUUUUUUUUUUUUAACUACAGAUUCACUUCUACAUCAGCAUUAGUAGCCAUGGGAACAAAGUGUGUUGUAUACCAAAUAAUGUUUCCUAUUGUUCGCUACAAUGUCACUACAAAAGCUUUAAAACUUUAAAUUGUACUUAGUUUGAUUUUUAAACAGAACUGUUUUUAGUUUAUUGUCAUUUUAAUAAUUGUACUCUUAAUGUAGCUAAUUGAACACUAAAAUAUCAUGCCUCAGUUAUGAAACAAUGUCAAAUUCUGUAUUCUAAUAAGUACACUUAAAAAAAAAAAAUCAUACUAUAAUAUUUGUUUUUUUCCUGAUCUGUAAAAUAGCCUACAUGGGUUCUUUGCAUCUGGUACCAUUUGUAGGACUUAUAAUAUAGUUAGCAUUUUUUGUAUUUAUCAAGAGCUAUGAUUCUAUUUCUUCUGUUCAAUUUUUUUAAAUGUUUUUUUUUUUUAAAUGAAAUUGAGAUUUCAAAGCACUACAAAUCAGCAAAAUGAUUGAAAUAUAUCUGAUCAUGAAGUGAAUGUUGAAGUUAGAUGAUCACCAGACGUUUUUGUUUCAAUAUGCGUUGACGCUUGAUAAUCCUUCAUACGCAAACUCUCCUUGGUCUUCGGUCUGUUUUUUUGGGGGGGUUUUGCAAAAAGGACACUUUUUUCCCCUUCUGUUCUACGGGGAAUUAUGCAACAAUAGUCUUUUCAUAGGGUCAGAGGUUAUUGUGCCUAUAUGUUUUUAGAGGAUUUCUAGUGAAUUGUCAGAUUGGAUUGGCAUGGGGUUGGCAUUCGGAUCUUGUUGUUAACAUGCCAACCCCACAACACAAUCUGCUCUGAUCUUUUUUUUUCUUUCUACAUUUGUCUCAGUGUUUGUAUUUGCAUGUUGAUUGACAUAUUUGCUAUUCCUAGCGAUAGGUGGUCUAUAGCCCGACCUUAUAUUGUGACUAUACUGAGUCUGGUUACUAUGUAGAACGUUAGAACUAAGAAGGUGAGGAAGUGAUGGAUCCUUGGUAGGGGCAGGUGAAUUAGGGGGGGUGAGGGGGGUGUUCAAUGCACGCUAAAAGGGGGGUGUGAGAAGGGACGAGGUGAAGAAGGGCGUGAGAAGGGACGAGGUGAAGAGGGGCGUGAGAGGUGACGAGCUGAAGUGGGGGCACACAGUUAGCACAUCACUACCACCUGUGUCCUUGGAGUUGUGUGGAUUGGGGGAAAGGGUGUGACGAUGUGGUGUGGUUUCAGAGAUUGGAGGGCCUCUAUUACCCAGGCAUGGCCAAAGAAGGCUAGCUCUGACAGGGCUAGCAACAUGCUAACUCGUGCCCAUGCCCAGCUGACAGGGCUAGCAACAUGCUAACUCGUGCCCAUGCCCAGCUGACAGCGCUAGCAACAUGCUAACUCAUGCCCAGGUCCAGCUGACAGGGCUAGCAAUAUGCUAACUCAUGCCCAGGUCCAGCUGACAGGGCUAGCAAUAUGCUAACUCAUGCCCAGCUGAUGAAAAGGGCUCCAGUGAGAGGUGAUAAGGUCUUUUUUAGAAUCAAACAAGGUUAUUAAUCCAAUCACACAGCUGCCUCUCUUGGUGUCUCUGUGUCAUGGAGGUUCCCAGUUUUGUGUUUUCGUUUGAAUAAUGUGCUGUUCCAGGCUCGAGGGGGGGAAACUUGGCAGGGCUGUCGGUGCACCAUUACUGGGGACACAAUUCAAGGUUGCACCAGAAUGAAGGACAAAAGUUAAAUGGAUGAUAGCAUUUGUAUCAGAUUGUCUUUUUGUAAAUGUAUACUUUGGGGGAUAUUAAGACCAGAUGAAAGAGAGAGAUUCUACGAGAACAUAGAACACAGAGGUGGUGUUAUACCGUUAAGGGUUUGAGGAAAUGGUUUGGUGUGGAGCACAUAUUUUGACUAAAGGUGCAUAGAGUGGCAUGACAUGGAAUGGAAUAGACAGGAUGUAGCAAUAUAUAGCGCAGUAUAGCGCAGUGGCUAGGCUACAGCUGCAUGGUAGGAUGGGGACGGGGGUGUGUUGUCAGUAGUUACAGGGUUCUUGGAAUGUUGAAGGCAUGCUCAUUGGUGGUGAAAAUCAGACUAACAAAAUGGCCGCAUACUGUAUCCUAUCCCGGCAGUGUGGACUUCAUUUUUACAUGAUGUAACCUCGGCAAGGAGUCUGAAAAUUACAGUAACAUGUUUUUUAAAAAUAAAUAAAGAAUAAAAUGGCGUCAGAACCGUG